GCCUGGGUGGCUCAGUCGGUUAAGCAUCCGACUUCGGCUCAGAUCAUGAUCUCAAUGCGUCGUGGGUUCAAGCCCCUCAUCGGGCU
rnacentral:tRNA from 1 species